rnacentral:rRNA from 1 species
GACGAACGCUGGCGGCGUGCUUAACACAUGCAAGUCGAACGGUAAGGCCCUUCGGGGUACACGAGUGGCGAACGGGUGAGUAACACGUGGGUGAUCUGCCCUGCACUUCGGGAUAAGCAUGGGAAACUGGGUCUAAUACCGGAUAGGACCACUGCCUGCAUGGGUGGUGGUGGAAAGCUUUUGCGGUGUGGGAUGGGCCCGCGGCCUAUCAGCUUGUUGGUGGGGUUAUGGCCUACCAAGGCGACGACGGGUAGCCGGCCUGAGAGGGUGACCGGCCACACUGGGACUGAGAUACGGCCCAGACUCCUACGGGAGGCAGCAGUGGGGAAUAUUGCACAAUGGGCGCAAGCCUGAUGCAGCGACGCCGCGUGAGGGAUGACGGCCUUCGGGUUGUAAACCUCUUUCAGCACCGACGAAGCGCAAGUGACGGUAGGUGCAGAAGAAGGACCGGCCAACUACGUGCCAGCCGCCGCAGUAA